UGGGGAAUCUUGGACAAUGGGGGCAACCCUGAUCCAGCGACGCCGCGUGGGUGAAGAAGGCCUUAGGGUUGUAAAGCCCUUUCACCGGGGAGGAUGAUGACGUUACCCGGAGAAGAAGCACCGGCUAACUCCGUGCCAGCAGCCGCGGUAAGACGGAGGGUGCUAGCGUUGUUCGGAAUCACUGGGCGUAAAGGGCGCGUAGGCGGCUUGGGCAGUCAGAUGUGAAAGCCCGGGGCUCAACCCCGGAAUUGCAUUUGAUACUCCCAGGCUGGAGGUCGGAAGAGGAGGGUGGAAUACCCAGUGUAGAGGUGAAAUUCGUAGAUAUUGGGUGGAACACCGGUGGCGAAAGCGGCUCUCUGGUCCGAACCUGACGCUGAGGCGCGAAAGCGUGGGGAGCAAACAGGAUUAGAUACC
rnacentral:rRNA from 1 species